rfam:Giardia intestinalis strain GS GS_B_0079, whole genome shotgun sequence.
AUCCAUUCGUGUGAGAUAUGAUGAUUGGGAGCGACCUAUGUUGAGGAUGGCGGCUGCCCGUCUUACCUUGUGACUUCUGCCGUCUUGCAAUGCUCUGACC